AUUUACAGGAGAAGACGACCGCGCCCGCUUGUUUGCUCCAUAGUCGUAUGUGGGGUUCAAGGCUGCCUGAAAGCGCUUCAUAGCCAAAACAAGGUUCCCAAUCAAUUUGAAGGUAGGCUUCUUCUUCUCUGAAGUUAACUUCUCGGUCUCCAUGGCCUCUAGACCUAUGCCGGUAUCCUUCAGAUGGAAUGUAUGAGCAAAAUCUGUUUAAGUAAGAAGAUAUGUUAGAUGUUCCCAGUGUAUCACACCACAGCUGCAACAAAGAGGGAAUCACAUUCCGU
rnacentral:lncRNA from 1 species